GGAUCCUUAGCUCAGUUGGUUAGAGCGGCUGACUCAUAAUCAGCGGGUCGGGGGUUCAAGUCCCUCAGGAUCCACAA
rnacentral:tRNA from 1 species